UUUUUUUUUUUUUUUUUUUUUUUUUUUUUUACCACGCCUACACAGUGGCUGCCAAGGCUUACCCAUGAGUUAAACCUUCUUUAGUUGGUAAUUAGGAAGGCGUGGGCUCUAGCAGUGGACACCCAAAGGCAGCAGUGGGUGAAAACAAGCAAAAUAAAGAAAAGGUUGGCUGUGAGAAGGUGCUAGACAGCCAGCCAUAGUGACGAGGAGGCAGGAAGGAAGAUCACCACCACAGGGAAGCCAAGCAGUCCACACUCACCAUGGUCAUCCAUCACAGGGUGGCGGGGAGCUUGUCGCAAGAGGCUCAAGGCAUUCUUGAUGAUGUGAAGGGAGCAGCACAGCCAACUCUCCGUCCCCAAUGACACGCCACACAGGAACUGCAGAGCAUCUGGAAUCCAUCACACUGAGGCAACAGGAGGGGGACAUGACAACUCCACACUUUCAUCACUACCUAGUGGAUUGUUAAAAAUCUUCCACUCAGGCUGCUCAAACCCUCUUUCCAUCCAUCACCCAGGAAGGGAUGGAAAAGAAAAAUAGAAUAUGAUCUGACAGUAAAUUGACAUCAAGCUCUAAUAGGUAAGUUUGUGAAACAGGAAGAGAAGAUAUUUAUCAUGCAUGUAUCUUAAAUGUUAUGUGGCAGAGCAAGAACACAGGCUAUAAUACAUGUUCCUAGACGUCCAACCCCUCAAGGAAGCCACAGGAUGUCUGACUUCUGAUCUCUCCAAAAUUUUUGGUUGGGGCAGAGCAGACUUAAGUUUUAUUCAAUACCUCAAAAAUUCUAACAAACUUCCAGACACCAAGGACACUCAACUGUCCCCCUCUUCUACACUGAAGAUCCUGUCUGUCUGUCUGUCCUUUACUUACAAUCUAAACUGGAAACUUCACAUGCCUCUAGCUAAUUCAGUUUCUUUGCUAACAGUAUUGACUGUAUUGAUACAGUUGGUAUCAGCCAGAAAUGGAAGUAUCAGUAUCAGUGGAGGAAGUAAUAUCAGUACAGCUCCACUUAUUUAUAAUUAACUUGAGCCAAUUUACAGGGUAUCUUAAAGAUAGGAUGAGGUGGUCAACUGUUGGGUUGAGUGCAUUCCAACCUAACCUCUGUAAUCCAGCAAAAUCACUAAUCCAGCACCCUACAGGUCUUAAUGAUGCUGGAUUAGUGAUGGCUGACCUGUACAGUGUUUAAUUCAUCAUUCAAGACCUACAAUUAUUCAAAACCUACAAGAUACACUGGCUUGCUCUGUGAUGGCUGACCUGUACAGUGUUUAAUUCAUCAUUCAAGACCUACCAUUAUUCAAAACCUACAAGAUACACUGGCUUGCUCUAAAAUGGAAGCUCUAGAAUAGAAGCAGCCUCUGUUCUAGAAUAUUUUCUCAUAAGGACAAUCACCACUCACAGGGACCAUCAUCAAAGGCCACAGAUUAUAUGAGGCCUCUUGUGUUGAAAGGGCAAAUCCAGGAAAAUCAGGUUUUCAGAUACUGGCGUUUGAAGUUAAGUUAUUCAUGCAUGAACCCCUUAGUGUUGUGAGGGCAAAUCCCCCAAAAAUGCCAUUUUGAGAUGUACGUCAAGAUAAUCUUUUGGUAUAUAUAAGAACAGGCAUUAUCAAUAAAUUGCUACUUCCUUCCUGUAUUUUGGUAUAAACAAAAAACAGAUUACAAAUAAAUUGCUAUUUCCUUCAUGUAUUUACCAAUACAUGCUCAUCAUGAAAAUAUUUUGGUAUAAACAAAAACAGAUAUUGCUAAUGAACUGCUGCUUCC